UCUUGUAAAGAGGGAUAGGAGAAUUGGAGGGCAAGUUUGGUGCCAGCAGCCGCGGUAAUACCGACUCCAAGAGUGUGUAUGAGAGAUGCUGCAGUUAAAAAGUCCGUAGUCAUAGAAGGGCAAAGAGAGAUGCGAGGUCUCACAGUGCGAUGAUGGAGGAGCCGAUGGGGAACAUAGUAUACCAGGGCGAGAGAUGAAAUGCCAAGACCCCUGGUGGACUGAGCGAGGCGAAGGCGAUGUUCUUGUAGGCAUUCGGUGAUCAAGGACGAAGGCUGGAGUAUCGAAAGUGAUUAGAUACCGCAGUAGUUCCAGCAGUAAAAGAUGCCGACAUGCUCAUUGGACACAGUGGGCAGGGAGAAAUCUUAGAGUUCGGGCUCUGGGGAUAGUAUGCUCGCAAGGGUGAAAAUUAAAGAAAUUGACGGAGCUACACCACAAGGAGUGGAUUGUGCGGCUUAAUUUGACUCAACGCGAGGAAACUUACCAGGGCCAAGUAUUGUGUAGAAACGAGCAAUACAGGAGUGGUGCAUGGUCGUUGGAAAUUGAUGGGAUGACUUUGACCUUAAAUGGUUGAAUGAGUGAGAUCUUUUGGACAUGUUCCGCACGGAACAGGAAGGAAAAGGCUAUAACAGAUCCGAGAUGCCCUCAGAUGCCCUGGGCUGCACGCGCAAUACAAUAGCAGGUAGAGAGAGAGACAGGAAGGUGCUCAGAUGGACUAUGUGCUGUAAGGCACAUACGAAAGAGGAAUUCCUAGUAAGUGUGUAUCAACAAUGGAUAUUG
rnacentral:rRNA from 1 species